rnacentral:rRNA from 1 species
UUGAAAUCCCCGGGCUCAACCUGGGAACUGCAUUGGUGACUGCAUCGCUAGAGUAUGGCAGAGGGGGGUAGAAUUCCACGUGUAGCAGUGAAAUGCGUAGAGAUGUGGAGGAAUACCGAUGGCGAAGGCAGCCCCCUGGGUCAAUAAGACGCUCAUGCACGAAAGCGUGGGGAGCAAACAGGAUUAGAUACCCUGGUAGUCCACGCCCUAAACGAUGUCAACUGGUUGUCGGGUCUUCAUUGACUUGGUAACGUAGCUAACGCGUGAAGUUGACCGCCUGGGGAGUACGGUCGCAAGAUUAAAACUCAAAGGAAUUGACGGGGACCCGCACAAGCGGUGGAUGAUGUGGAUUAAUUCGAUGCAACGCGAAAAACCUUCCCCCCUUGA